rnacentral:rRNA from 1 species
UAGAGUUUGAUCCUGGCUCAGGAUGAACGCUAGCGACAGGCUUAACACAUGCAAGUCGAGGGGCAGCGGGGGUGAUGGCUUGCCAUCACCUGCCGGCGACCGGCGCACGGGUGAGUAACACGUAUGCAACCUGCCCGCCACAGGGGGAUAAGCGGAAGAAAUUCCGUCUAAUACCGCGUGACGCGGCACCGGGGCAUCCCGGUGCCGCCAAAGGGAUUACCGGUGGCGGAUGGGCAUGCGGCGCAUUAGCUAGUCGGCGGGGUAACGGCCCACCGAGGCGACGAUGCGUAGGGGUUCUGAGAGGAAGGUCCCCCACACUGGUACUGAGACACGGACCAGACUCCUACGGGAGGCAGCAGUGAGGAAUAUUGGUCAAUGGGCGCGAGCCUGAACCAGCCAAGUCGCGUGAGGGAUGACGGUCCUACGGAUUGUAAACCUCUUUUGCCGGGGAGCAAGCGUGCGUUCGUGAACGCGCGUCGAGAGUACCCGGAGAAAAAGCAUCGGCUAACUCCGUGCCAGCAGCCGCGGUAAUACGGAGGAUGCGAGCGUUAUCCGGAUUUAUUGGGUUUAAAGGGUGCGUAGGCGGCCUGCCAAGUCAGCGGUAAAAUUGCGGGGCUCAACCCCGUACAGCCGUUGAAACUGCCGGGCUCGAGUGGGCGAGAAGUAUGCGGAAUGCGUGGUGUAGCGGUGAAAUGCAUAGAUAUCACGCAGAACCCCGAUUGCGAAGGCAGCAUACCGGCGCCCUACUGACGCUGAGGCACGAAAGUGCGGGGAUCAAACAGGAUUAGAUACCCUGGUAGUCCGCACAGUAAACGAUGAAUGCUAGCUGUCCGGGGGGAUUGACCCCUGGGUGGCACAGCGAAAGCGUUAAGCAUUCCACCUGGGGAGUACGCCGGCAACGGUGAAACUCAAAGGAAUUGACGGGGGC